AGAGCGAACGCUGGCGGCAGGCUUAACACAUGCAAGUCGAGCGGGCGUAGCAAUACGUCAGCGGCAGACGGGUGAGUAACGCGUGGGAACGUACCUUUGGCUCGGAACAACACAGGGAAACUUGUGCUAAUACCGGAUAAGCCCUUACGGGGAAAGAUUUAUCGCCGAAAGAUCGGCCCGCGUCUGAUUAGCUAGUUGGUGAGGUAACGGCUCACCAAGGCGACGAUCAGUAGCUGGUCUGAGAGGAUGAUCAGCCACAUUGGGACUGAGACACGGCCCAAACUCCUACGGGAGGCAGCAGUGGGGAAUAUUGGACAAUGGGCGCAAGCCUGGAUCCAGCCAUGCCGCGUGAGUGAUGAAGGCCCUAGGGUUGUAAAGCUUCUUUGUGCGGGAAGAUAAUGACGGUACCGCAAGAAUAAGGCCCCGGCUAACUUCGUGCCAGCAGCCGC
rnacentral:rRNA from 1 species